rnacentral:rRNA from 1 species
CCCAGUUCUUUGUAAAGUGCUUUCGAAGAGUCGAGUUGUUUGGGAAUGCAGCUCUAAGUGGGUGGUAAAUUCCAUCUAAAGCUAAAUAUUGGCGAGAGACCGAUAGCGAACAAGUACAGUGAUGGAAAGAUGAAAAGAACUUUGAAAAGAGAGUGAAAAAGUACGUGAAAUUGUUGAAAGGGAAGGGCAUUUGAUCAGACAUGGUGUUUUGCGCCCUCUGCUCCUUGUGGGUGGGGGAAUCUCGCAGCUCACUGGGCCAGCAUCAGUUUUGGCGGCAGGAUAAAUCUGCAGGAAUGUAGCUUGCCUCGGUAAGUGUUAUAUCCUGUAGAAAUACUGCCAGCUGGGACUGAGGACUGCGACUU